rnacentral:lncRNA from 1 species
GCUUCUAUUCUCCUGGGAUCCAUGUCAGCAUCUGUGGACACAUACCUGAUAUCAUCUUCUAUUCUCCCGAAUCCAUGUCAGCACCUGUGGACACAUACCUGAUAUCAUCUUCUAUUCUCCUGGGAUCCAUGUCAACACCUGUGGACACAUACCUGACAUCAGCUUCUAUUCUCCUGAAUCCAUGUCAGCACCUGUGGACACAUGUCUGAUAUCAGCACCUGUGAGAGGGAAAUUCCUGAACUGGCACCAACUGCAACAAGAUGAAGAAAACGUCUUUGACUUUCAAGACGAUAUGUACAGAAAGACAACAACAACUCCAAGCUCUGGAGUAUAAUGUUAUAUCGAUAUGGGAACAUGAUGCAAAGAAGCUGGAACCAACAAUUCAGUAUUAAAGACCACUCAGUAGGUCCAAGCCUCGAUGUACGGGACGCCUUCUACAGAGGGAGAGUCAACACAAGAAGAAUUUUUUUACGAUGUUAAAAAAAAUCAAGUACGUUGACUUUACAUCUCUAUGCCCAUGGGAACAGAUACUGUGAGUAUCCAAUAGGACAUUCUACCAUCAUAACACAAUUUUCACCGAUUUGAAAAAUUAUUUUGGUUUCAUAAAGUGUAAAAUUCUAGCCCUGAUAAAACCCUAUCAUCUUUUUGUGUUUUUUAGAAGGGACAGUAUGAUCCUGUUUUGCUCCUGAUGUUAGGCAGUGAGAAGGCUAUUCUGCACUUUCUUGUUAUUUAUUUUAAGAAACUCCUGGAUUAAAGAGGAAAGUGGUAUAUUUCGUACAUUUUUAAUAUCUGAUAGCCACACUUAACUGCUUUUUUUCACUUAUUCAGUGAUCCAAGUGGCGAUGAAAGCUCUCUCGUGAUCAUAGUGGUGGCAUGGUGGUGGUGAUCUUGGUUCAAAUUUACUUUAUAAUAAGCUGAAAAGGAAGGAGUAGAAUUGACCCCAGAAAACUGCAUUUAAUCCAGGAAGAAGAUCAAUUGUAAAACUGUCUUAACUCUUUUUGGGGAUGUUGGGGUAAGUAAAUGACUUACCUUUAAUGAGUGAUAACCCUAAGGUCAUAAUAGAUGUUAGGUCAGUUAAUGACGAAGUUAUUCCUCAUCAUUGUAGACACAAGCGGAAUGUCUGCCUCAGAAAGAUCAAAACAACAUAUUUCUAGCAGCUUUCACUACUAUUCACGCUCAUCUGAAAGUGCACUAUAUGCUGGAGAAGUUCUGUAUUGUAUUAUGAUACAGAUAGUAUUGUUUACAUUUCAGACAGAUUUAAUGAUCCACCUCUAGGCUAUUAUCUUGGUGAAUUAACAGACGAGCCUGAUGGUUAUUACAUCACAUCAUGGGACAGUGGUGGUUCCAAGAAUUAUGGAUACUUACGAUGAGAAGUCCAGUUGUAAAAUUAGAGUGCUUACGCUAAGUUUUAUCAACAGUGAGAAAGCAAUGUUCUCAUCAACAAGUAGUAAAAUAAUGAACAUGAUUAAUCCUUUUUAGCAUUUUAUUGAAUGUUUUAGCAAAACAAAUGUUUCUGACACGUGUCCAAUACUUUGAAGAAGAUUACCAAGAUAAAAUGCAGCAAUCCAUGGUUACAUCCUCAUCGAUUUGAAACUUCGAACACCAGACCAAUUACGUUUAAGGAUGGGACUAAUUCUUGGAGACGAAAUGUUGGUGUAAGUAUCAAAGUAAAAUAUAACUGAUGUUUCAAUGUAUAAAUACUCGUUGAUUGUCAUGACUGCAGCCGGGGCAGAUCUAGAAGGAUUUUAUCUAAAUGAUGGGCCACAUGUAAUUAAAGAAUUGGCAUUCAACUGUUUAGUCACAAGAUAUAUAUGUGUGUUUUUGUUUAAACAAUAACUACAUCCCCUGGAAAAGUGGAAGCAUCGACUAUCCCUAUUUGUAGAGUGUAGUCUGUUUGCUCAGAAUGAACUUUACCAUUGUUUUUACAAAUUGGAGAGAGGAAACCGAGUUGUUAAGAAGUCUUUUCAAAACUUCUUGUUAUAAUCUGGAAGUACUUGGAUGCCCCAGGAUUAAUCGACUCUACCUGUCUGUUUCAUGAUAAAACAAUUUCAUCAUUUUAGUUUAGGAAAAAGUAGUUACUAUA